CAUCGAGAGUUGGCAAUGUAACAUAAAGGUACAAUAAAUUGAAAAGGACAAAUUGAAAACAAAAUAGAAAUAAAAAUUAAGUUCAAAAUUAAAAAUUUUAGUAACACUGGAUGAAACUUUAUUCAUAAAACUUUUAGGUGAAAGUGGCAUUCUAGACAGAAAACAUUCAGUUAAAGCCUAACCGGAUUUAUAAAGGUAGGAUAUGUAAAAACAGGAAUACACUGGUGGUAAGCUUGUGUUAAUCCUUUAUUUUUCCUAAAAAAAAACACAUGCUUAUUGUCCUCUGAUUUUAGAAGUAUGGUUAUGGCUAAGAUUGGUAGAUCCCCUAACCCAAACCCUAAAGGUGUGGUCACACUAGACUUUUAUUCACUUCUAUUCAUAUGCAGGAGAGCAGGGAUACAAGCAUAAACUUCUACCCACCUUCUUGUAUGAAGUUUAAGAACUUGUAUACAUUGAAGUUUUGAGUUUUGCGUAUGUACAGUACACGUUCAAGCUUGGGGAACUCUGAUCUGCAAAUUCGUCUAGCUUUCAUUAAGGACCAUGGACUGCUUGAAUAAUUUAUGUUGAAUUCUAAAUUCAAUUAAAUGCAUCUAAAGCGGCGGGUCGCGUGGUGCCAUACGAGGGUCAGAUGUGUGAACGGCGAGCUCUGCGCACUUUGCUAGUUUUUAAUACUUUUUGUGUCAUAAACCGGUGAGAUGCGAUAUACCCUGUUCCAUAACUGUUCUUUGAAGACAAUAUUUCAAAGAAUUCUAAAUCCUUGUGCUCUGGAGACACUAAAAGACACUUAUGUACUCAAGCUGAUAUCCCUGACAGGGCCGCAGACCAGGGACUUAAUUUGGAUGGUGUGGCGGGAGAGAUUCAUGUCGGCAGUGCUGGCGAAGGUCGUUGCUGACGUGGAGGAUCUUGCUGUAAUAUGUCGAUCGGUCACUGCCAUGUAGAUGAAAUUCACUGAGGUGGUUACAAGAGUGUCAGAUGUUGAGAAUCGGAUCGAUUAUCUGGAGUCAUUGAAGAGGGAAUAAGCUGAUAAUCCGCUUGCGACAAAAGGACUUGGAACACGUUUGGGAAAAGAUAUGGAGAGUCAUAAUCUGUGAAACAACAUCCGAAUGGUUGGAAUUCCUGAGAAUGAAAAAGAGAUAUGGUGAAAUUCCUAGACAAGCUCUUCCUGAGUCUGCUCAACAUAACAGACCAUGAGCUGAAAAUGGAGUGAGCUCACAGUGUUCCGGCAUGGAGAUCCGCUGAGGGAGACAGGCCCGUUCAAUUCUGGCCAAAUUUCUGAGAUCAUUCGAUAAAGAUCUCAUGUUACGUGAGACAAGGAGUAAAGGAAGGUUUUCUUGGAAUAACCACAACAUUUUCUUGUUCCCAGACUUUGCAAAUUCGACAAGAGAGAAACAUGAUCGAUUCAAGGAAUGCAAGAAACUCUUACAUCAACGGAAGGUUGCUUUUGCACUGAUGUUCCCGGCCAAAUUGAGAAUAGAUACUAAGGAUGGCCUUUUUUUUUGCUGGUUCCGCUAGCGGCUGGAGUUUGCUUUGUGGAGGAACAUACCUUCGGGACGGUUAUGUGGAUGAUUCUACAUGUUCUUUGUGCUUAUGCCUCAUAUUGGCUAGUGUUUCCUUUAUUGAUUAUUUUCUGUUGUGUAAUUCUCUCGUACAAAAUUUGUAUAGACACACCGGACUCGAGCAAUCUGAUGUUAAAUUUGUCACGGGGGCUUUUGUAGGCGUACAUGGACUGUUUGAGUUCAGAGGGAUGGACGCCAGUUGGCACUGUCUAACGCAGGGUUAAUGCACACGUUUUUCUUUUUUCUGUUUUUUUUUUGUUCUGGGGGAAGUUCAGGGUUUUUUUUUGCUCUAAAGUUACACAAGAUUUUGGUCAGAAUUGAUCGGAGCAUGUCUCUCUCCGUGGAUAUCCAUGUCGGAACCCUGUGAGCUCGCUCGAUUUCCAGCUUAUGGCCUGUUAUGUCGAGCAGAUUUGAAGAAGCCCAUCCAGGAAUUUCACCAUAUCCUGACCCUCUUUGGCCUCAGGAAUUCUGACAAUACAGACAUGAUUCCACUGGCUACGGUUCUUCAUGUCCUCCAACUUCUCCCAGACAUGCUCCAAAUCCACCUUGGCUGCUAGCGGAUUAGCAGAUAAUACCCUCUCCAGAUAAAAUGAACUCUAACUAAAUCAAACAAAUUUUCUGGGAAUAAAAUGCCCAAAUACUUAAUGCCCUGUUUGAGCCACUGAAAGGCAUCCGGCUGAAAAGCCAUUUCUGGGCAGUACACUGUCAGAGACAAAGCUUCGGAUUUAGAAGGUUUUACCUCCCGCAGUCUCCCCUGUAAAAUCAUCUUCCUUUCUUAUCAUGGCUGCUAAUGGUUCCAGGGCAAGACAGAACAAUAAUGGGGAAAGAGGGCAACACUGCUGGGUGCCCCUAUCCAGAGAAAAAUAAUCUGAAAUUAAUCUAUUUGUUUGUAUCGCUGCUACAGAUGUCUAUAAAGUAACUUAAUCCAUCCAAUAAAAGUAUUCCCGAACUAAAUUUCAAAAUCUUAAAAAGAUAAUCCCAUUCUACGAUAUCAAAUGCUUUUUCGGCAUCAAGUGAGAUGGCAGUGACCAGAGUCUGAUCAUUCACCACUGACCACGUGAUAUUGAUGAAAUGCCUAAUGUUAUCAGAAGAGCUGCAGCCCCGAAUAAACAACACCUGAUCUAUAUGUAUAAGAGAUGUCAUAAUUUUUAUUAAUUGGUUAGACAGAAUUUUUGACAAUAUUUUAACGUCUAGCUGGAUCAGGGAAAUUGGACUGUAAUUCUUACACUCUUACACUUGGAUCUUUGUCCUUUUUAAGUAUCAGACUGAUCCGGGCUCAUGUCAUGGUUGGCGGAAGCUUUCCAUUCUUUAGUGAUUCUGUAUAAACAUCUAGCAAAUGUUUAGCCAAUUCUGUGGCAUAAGAUCUAAAAAAAAAUUCAGCGGUAAAGCCAUCUGGCCCCAGAGCCUGUAGGCAAGGCCUAAAUUACCUCGCCAAACUCCUCCAGAAUCAAAAGAUUAUUUUGCUCAGUGUUCAGUUUAGGGAGUUCUAAUGGUUCCACAAAAUUUCUAAUAUCUUCAUCAGUAGAUGAAGACGUAGAACUAUAAAUAUCAAGAUAGAAUUCUUUAAAAGCAUUAUUAAUAUCUAUUGCCGGGUUAAAACUGUAAUCACCAGCAUAUUUCACUGAGGUUAUGGUAGAAAAACACUAUCUCUGCUUUAUAUAUCUAGCCAAAAGCUUCCUUGCUUUGUCCCCCGACUCAAAGUAUGAAUGACUUGCCAUGAAUAACCAAAACUCCCCCUUUUGUGACAAAAUAGUAUUAUAUCUGUAUUUCAAUCAGAAAACAUUUUCUGAGGCCAUCAGAUGACAUUUGGUGCUUCAGCUCAGCCUCUGCAUUUUUUAUAUUGCCUUUAAACUACACGAGUUUGUGCUUUUGGACAUUUUGUUGAAUGAGGCAAACUGUAUAAUCCAACCCCUAAGAACUGCCUUAAGUGUCUCCCAAGCCACGCCUAUGGAGGACACUGAGGAUCAGUUGGUCUUCAUAUACACAUUCAGCCUUUAACAAUUCUUGGAAUUCAGGACUUUGCAAAAGGGAUACAUUAAUGUGGCAACUAUAUGAUUUAUUUUUCUCCGUAUGUAGCAACACCACCAGGGCAUUAUCUGAGACUAAGAGGUUUCCAAUUUAGCAAUCCACAACAGGUGAAAUGAGGAACUUAAUUAUCCCAAAAAAUAAAUCUAUUCUAGAAUAAAUCUUAUGGACUGAUGAAAAAAAUGUGUAGUCCCAACCAGAUGGGUUCAAAAGUUUCCAAAUAUCUGUAAGACCAUGAUUUUUACACAUCCUGUGAAUCAUCAAUGUUGCUCUAGGGGGCUUGCACACUUUUACUUCACUUUAAUCAAGGACUGAGUCCAUCAAAAGAUUAAAGUCUCCUCCCAAUAUUAUUUCAUGAGGGGUACCAGCAGCUUGCAACAUCCCUUCAAGAUCUAUAAAAAAGCCCUGAUCAUCCACUUUAAGUGCAUAAAUAUUAGCCAAAAUAAGACUUUGCCUCUGAAUUUCAGCUAAACAAUAAUGACUCUUCCUAAUUUAUCUUUACUCUGUUUGAGACAUUUGAAUUGUAGAUGUUUACUUAUCAGUGUAAUGACUCCCCUGCUAUUACUCAAGCCUGUACUUUUAAAAAUAUUCAUAUUUCUUACCCUUAAGAAGAGAAAUAACCUUCCUUCUUUUCAUGGGGUGCCCCAUCCCAUCCCACGUGGAGAGAGUCAAUCCACUCAUAUUAACAUUUGACAUUUUGACAUAUAAGAAAAAAUUGAUUGUGUGUCAAAAACAAGAUUAUGAAGACCACAUUCCAAUUUUGGUAUGACUAUUAAAACCCGAACCUCCCCCGAAUAAAACAAACAGAAAAAAGAAAAACGUGUGCAUUAACUCAGUGCACGACAGCGCUAACUGGCGUCCAUCCUUCCAAACUGAAACAGUCCAGCCACAACUUUGCCGUCGGAUUGCUCAAGUCUGGUGUUUCUAUACAAAUUUUGUGAGACUGAAUUACACAGCAAAAGAUAAUCUAUAAAACAAACUCCAGUCAAAAAGCAGAAUAGUAGAUUCAUCCACAAAACUAUCCCAAAGGUGUGACACUCUUCAAAAUAAACUCCAACCGCUUUCCAGCUUAUAACCUGUUAUGUCGAGCAGAUUUGAAGAAGCCCAUCCAGGAAUUUCACCAUAUCCUGACCCUCUUUGGCCUCAGGAAUUCUGACAAUACAGACAUGAUUCCACUGGCUACGGUUCUUCAUGUCCUCCAACUUCUCCCAGACAUGCUCCAAAUCCACCUUGGCUGCUAGCGGAUUAGCAGAUAAUACCCUCUCCAGAUAAUCGUUCCGUUUCUCGACAUUUCCCACUCUUGUUACAGUUUCUGUUGCUGACGGCACAUUGCACGAGUGUUUGUAGCCUGCUUAGCAUUGCUUAUUCUUAUUCUCAUACAUUCAUCUUUUUAUCCUUUGUCAUUUUACUGCAUGUUUUCCACUUUUCUACUGUUUCAUCUGUGUGUAUUUUACCUGUUUAUUGACGCCUAGCUUUGAGUCUGUAUUUAUAGCCUGCUAGCUUUUUUAGCAUCGCUUAUAUAUCUGUUUUCAGCCUUUAAUCCUUAACAUCUUCUAUUUUUCAGUGCGCAUCUGGUUUCCCCCCGCAUUAUUCUCUUAUCACGAUUCAACUGCGUGCAUUUUCCUUGUGCAUCCGCUUUCUAUUUUUAGCGUGAUUACACUAUGUGCAUUUUACAGCGCGCACCCAUUUUUCUCCUCUGUGUUACAUGGAUUAUUGCAUCGCUCUCAAAGCACCGCUUAUCAAGAACAACCAACAUCAAACAAUUGCGUGAGGGAUUCACAUCUAUUUUAAACUCUCACUGCUCAGCAACAACAAACAACACCAAUCAAUUGCAGUUAUUGUUAUAAACAUGAGCCUCAUCUGAAGGGUCGAGGAUGAGGUGUUGCUACAAUUUACAGUGAAGUUUUUGGUGUUUCUCAGAGGACAGGAUAUAAAUAACCGGUUGGAUCCAGCUCCAUUCCUGCUUCGUGUUGGACUCCACUGCUAUGUGUUGCUGUGUGAUAAUGACUAAUAGCAGCCGGUGCCAGCCAAACAUCACUUCAGUCUAUUACGAUGAACUUCAGAGGAUGAACUGUUGCCAACUCCAACCAGAAGACAUGGGAUACUUCAUAUGCCACUGCCUGAACCUUGAACUUAGGAGAGACCUCAACGAAAUUACUGUCAGGUUGAACUGCGAUGCACCUAACUGAUCUCUGCCUGCAUCACCUCGGUCUAAUGAUGGACUACACUCUUGAAAUGGAAUGCAUAGACUAUCAAUUAAUUGCCAAAAUAACCCUUAUCAGCCAACUAACAAGGACAAUUGCAUCUAUUUAUCAAAUCUUUGUUUAAAGAUUUGAUAAAGGCUCUUAACACUUACUUAGUUUAAUCAUUUUAAACCAUGAUUUGCACUAUACAUAAGUAAUAUUGGCAUUAUAUUCAUGAUGUUAGCCAGAGGGGAACUGGCCACCACAGUGAAUCUGGUUUCUCCCAAGAGAGAUGUUUUCUCCAUUAACCAACAUUUUAUGUUGUUUUGUGUUCCUUGCCACAUUUGCCUUCGGCUUGCUCACUCAGGUUAUAAAUACAAUUAUUAUUUAAUUACUUAUUUCUAAACACAAUUCACAAUCAUAUUUUAUCAAACUACACAGUGAUGACUGAGACAUUAUAGAUAUUACAGUUUUAUCUUCUGCUAAUGCCUGAUCUUCUGUAAAGCUGCUUUAAAAUGAAGUGUGUUUUGAAAGGCACUAUACAAAUAAAAAUGACUUGACUUGUAACCAUCUCAGAGAACUUUGCCUCCAUGGCAGUGAUUGAUCGACGUAUAACAGCAGGAUCAUCCAAGUCAUCAACAACCUCCGUCAGCAUUGCCAACAUGCCCAGCAUCUCUCGCCGCAUUUCCUGCAUCUUUCCAAUGAAAUUGACUCCCUGGCUCGUGGCCCACUAGGGAGUAUCAGCUUGAGCAUAUAAGUGUCUUUUAAUGUCUCUAGAGCCCGAGGAUUUUGAAUUCUUUGACAUA